CGAAGAACAUACUAUAACAGAAAAUAAAUCACAAUAUUGUAGUAAAGAAACAAUAAUUGAAAUUAAUGAGAUGAAAAGGUCAAUCAUAGUAUACAAAGAGCUAGAAUCAUACUAUAGGAGGAUAUACUAUUAUCACUACUAUUAGAGAAAUGUUAAAAUAUUAAGUAAAAUAUCUCCAAUAUACAAAUAAUUAAUAUCAAAAGCAUGAAAAGUCAAUUGCAAAAUAGAAUCACUUUCAAAUAAAUAAUACGACUCAUAAUUUCAUUUGUGUUCAAAAGAAAUUUAAUAGCAUUCAACAUACAAAGUUCCUGGAUGUUGCUAAUUUGGCUCCAAAGAGGCAAAAUUAUUGCAUAAAUAUCUAUUAUUAAAAAGAUCUGCUACAGCUUACGAUUAGAGUAAGAGUGGGUAAACAAUUCUAAUCUUGCGAAUUGCAUCCAAUUCAUAUAGUAGAACUACUAAACAAGAAAUUCACACAUCAAGCCAACAACCGGUCAAGGGAGAAUUGAGAUUGAGUAAUAGAGGGGAAAGGGUUUUGAAUUGAAAUUGAAUACUGAAAUUGGAAAACGAAUAGAGGAAAGAAGAGAGAAAGAGCUUACAUGGAGUGCUGAAGCACAAUAAAGCAACCUCUAAGAUAGUAUUUCAAUGGAAGUGAACAAUCUUGCAAAGAGGUCAGCGAAUCAAUGAGCUGCUUUUGGUCAUUCAAAUACUAGUAUAUCUGCAAUAUCAUCACAUUUUCAUAAUUAUCCCCCCACAUUACCAGAAAAACAAAUAAGACAGAAGCCACGACAGAAAAGAUGUGAUACAAUAAUAGUUCCAUUAUAUAUUUGUAUCAAGCUUGAUGUGUAUCCCUAGGUCUUCAGCAUCGGCAAGUAAAGAAGGCUCAUUCACACUUACAAUUAUCAACUUGUCCAACAUAUCAUUGACUAUUGAAACUCCAAAAUAAAAUAUAAAAAAACAACAGUAAAAAAUAAUCAAAUUGAUGCACUGCACUGCAUNNNNNNNNNNNNNNNNNNNNNNNNNNNNNNNNNNNNNNNCAACUUACAAAGAACCCAACCCAACCAACAAACACAUUACUAUCACAAUCAAAUGCAAAAUAACAGGACACCAACCCAGCAGAAGCAAAAUAACAUAUGAGACACAAAUUUUUAUAAGUUACUAGAAAAAAGAGGAGUGUUUGAGCUUACCUUAGAGCGUAUAGAUGUCAAUAAUAACUUGAUACAAAUCAGCACAGGUCAUACCUUUCCUAUGUCAGCCAUGUACGUACCUCUGCAAAUACAAAUCAUAACAGAUUUUAGUAAUAUGUUAUAUGUAUAAAAAGUUCAUUGCCAUGAUUUUCUCACUUCCUUCAAUUGGGGAUCUCUUUCGACACUAACAUGCCAACAAUAUGUGAUUUCUCUUACAUGUAUACUUUGAUGAAAAACAAAAAUAGAGUGGUUUCUACAUUCUACUGCUAAUAAAAUUUUAUCAGUAGUUCUUUUUGGAGAAAUGAAACCAGAAAACCUAGAGAGUUAACUUUAAAAUAUAUAUAUGAAUUAGAUAAUAACAAAAAAUAAAAAUAAUGCCAAAGAGUUAAAUUUGCAAACCUAGAGAAUAGAACAAAAAGAGUCAUCUAAGUGCUAACAAUAAGGCAUGAAAAUCAACAUCAACAAAUAAGUAAUAAAACUUAAAGAGUUUACUUCCCUAAAAUCAUUCACUUGAAUCUCUAACAUACAUAAUAUUGACAAGCAACCAGAGAGUAUGAGUCACAAAUCAGCGGAGAACGACUGAGAAGGGUUGAGAAACGACACAAGAUCGGCGGAGAAAGGCAGAUCGACGAUGUGCCAUGCGUUGAGCUAUGAGCGUGAGGGCNNNNNNNNNNNNNNNNNNNNNNNNNNNNNNNNNNNNNNNNGAUGUGCCAUGCGUUGUGCUAUGAGCGUGAGGGCGAAGUGAGGUGAGGUGUUUGAAGGUGACG
rnacentral:lncRNA from 1 species